rnacentral:rRNA from 1 species
GAUGAACGCUGGCGGCGUGCCUAAUACAUGCAAGUCGAGCGAACAGACGAGGAGCUUGCUCCUCUGACGUUAGCGGCGGACGGGUGGGUAACACGUGGAUAACCUACCUAUAAGACUGGGAUAACUUCGGGAAACCGGAGCUAAUACUGGAUAAUAUAUUGAACCGCAGGGUUCAAUAGUGAAAGACGGUUUUGCUGUCUCUUAUAGAUGGAUCCGCGCCGCAUUAGCUAGUUGGUAAGGUAACGGCUUACCAAGGCGACGAUGCGUAGCCGACCUGAGAGGGUGAUCGGCCACACUGGAACUGAGACACGGUCCAGACUCCUACGGGAGGCAGCAGUAGGGAAUCUUCCGCAAUGGGCGAAAGCCUGACGGAGCAACGCCGCGUGAGUGAUGAAGGUCUUCGGAUCGUAAAACUCUGUUAUUAGGGAAGAACAAAUGUGUAAGUAACUAUGCACGUCUUGACGGUACCUAAUCAGAAAGCCACGGCUAACUACGUG